ACUGUAGCCAUAGGAAAGACAGCAGUGACUAAAGCUUGCUUCUCAGACUUAAUAAGGUAAUAUGAUGUCAUCUACAGAUGUGCUGGGCUGCAUUCACAGCACACCGGGACACGUGCGACCCCAAGCUGCGGGUUGGACAUGCUUGACUUUGCUGAUCGAUCCAUCAGGCUGGGCUCCUCAGAGUCAGACCUCAAGCCCACACUGCUGUUACUACCCAUGUACAACGGUGGUUCUCAGCCUUCCGAAUGCUGCAACCCCUUCAUAUGGUUUCUCAUGUUGUACUAACCCCCAACUAUAAAAUUAUUUUGUUGCUA